UGAUCUUUCUUGAAGUUCUUUUCUGUCUGUCUUGAACUGGAGUUACUCUGUUCAGAAGCAUGGUUUCAUGUGGUUUUCAAGGGAAACUGGAAGAGCUCAAGAAGCAUCCUGACUUAACUCUGCCAUCUUGGCUCUACCUCCAGAAACUCUGCCAUCUUGGCUCUACCUCCAGAAGUAAUCUGUUUAAAUUCUUAAAUAUGAAUUGUUUCUUUAUUCUAGAAGAGAUAUCAUGAUUGCUGUCAGGAGUGAAUCACCAGGUGUAGUCAGUUUUCUUCUUGAAUAUGAUAUGAUUUCUCUUGCCAAAAUACAUGGAUGGAAAGCCAAAGAGUGUGCUAUUGUCAGUGAUUAUUCUAGAAGGAAUGCAGUCAGCACCUUUCACUUCACAUCAGCUGUUCCAGUACUGGAUUUACUUUGGAUGGACCUGCCUUGGACAAAGAAGGGAAAAGGACAGAUGACUGCAGAUGCUCUUGAGGAACUUAAUCAUGUGACACAGGUACAUAAGAUUAUGAUUUGGCUCCCUCAAAUUAUAAGAAUAUUAUGUUAUUGGUUGAGCAACUUAUUGUUGUUUAAAGGUAAGAAUAUUUUUAAAUUUUCUAACAGAAUACCAACAUUAAACAGAAACAUAUCUUGUGUUUAUAUCCAAGAAGAGAUCACUGAAGUCUUAUUCCAUUGA
rnacentral:lncRNA from 1 species